rnacentral:siRNA from 1 species
AUAUGGGAUUCCUAGUCAACCAGG